CUUAUUUUGGCUUAGUUACGAUUAAUAGGAGUAGCUUGGAGGCAUUUGUAUUCAGAUGUCAGAGGUGAAAUUCUUAGAUUUUCUGGAGACAAACAACUGCGAAAGCAUUUGCCUAAAAUACUUCCAUUAAUCAAGAACGAAAGUUAAGGGAGUGAAGACGAUCAGAUACCGUCGUAAUCUUAACCAUAAACUAUGCCGACUAGGUUUUGGAUGAAACAUUUUUAAAUAAGAAAAUUCCUUUCGGGGAAAUUUCUUAGAUUGCUUCCUUCAGUACCUUAUGAGAAAUCAAAGUCUUUGGGUUCUGGGGCGAGUAUUCGCGCAAGCGAGAAAGUUAAAAGAAUUGACGGAAGGGCACCACCAGGCGUGGAGCUUGCGGCUUAAUUUGACUCAACACGGGGAAACUC
rnacentral:rRNA from 1 species